GCGGUGGAGUAUGUGGUUUAAUUCGACGCAACGCGCAGAACCUUACCUAGACUUGACAUCCCGGGGAUUUUCUGGAAACAGAGAAGUGCUUUAGCAAUAAAGAACCCGGUGACAGGUGCUGCAUGGCUGUCGUCAGCUCGUGUCGUGAGAUGUUGGGUUGAGUCCCGCAACGAGCGCAACCCUCGCCUUUAGUUGCCAGCAUUCAGUUGGGCACUCUAGAGGGACUGCCGGUGUCAAACCGGAGGAAGGUGGGGAUGACGUCAAGUCCUCAUGGCCCUUAUGGGUAGGGCUUCACACGUCAUACAAUGGUCGGUACAGAGGGUUGCCAACCCGCGAGGGGGAGCUAAUCCCACAAAGCCGAUCGUAGUCCGGAUCGCAGUCUGCAACUCGACUGCGUGAAGUCGGAAUCGCUAGUAAUCGUGGAUCAGCAUGUCACGGUGAAUACGUUCCCGGGUCUU
rnacentral:rRNA from 1 species